rnacentral:misc_RNA from 1 species
UGCUUAGUGAGAGUAGCAAUAAGGAC